AUAUAGGUUAAGUUAUUAAGGGCGCAUGGUGGAUGCCUUGGCACUAGGAGCCGAUGAAGGACGUGACUAACUGCGAUAAGCUUCGGGGAGUUGUAAGUAAACUGUGAUCCGGAGAUUUCCGAAUGGGGAAACCCAGCAGGAGUAAAGACCUGUUAUCACUGAGUGAAUACAUAGCUCAGUCGAAGGUAGACGUGGGGAACUGAAACAUCUAAGUACCCAUAGGAAGAGAAAGAAAAUUCGAUUCCCUGAGUAGCGGCGAGCGAAAAGGGAACAGCCCAAACCAAGAAGCUUGCUUCUUGGGGUUGUAGGACUGGACAUUUGAGUUACCAAGAAACGAAGUAGUUGAAUGAUUUGGGAAGAUCAGCCAGAGAAGGUGAUAGCCCUGUAAGCGAAACUUCGUUUCCUCAGCCCAGUAUCCUGAGUACGGCGGAACACGUGAAACUCCGUCGGAAUCCGGGAGGACCAUCUCCCAAGGCUAAAUACUCCCUAGUGACCGAUAGUGAACCAGUACCGUGAGGGAAAGGUGAAAAGCACCCCGGGAGGGGAGUGAAAUAGUUCCUGAAACCAUGUGCCUACAAGUAGUCAGAGCCCGUUAAUGGGUGAUGGCGUGCCUUUUGUAGAAUGAACCGGCGAGUUACGUUAGCGUGCGAGGUUAAGGCGCAAAGGCCGGAGCCGUAGCGAAAGCGAGUCUGAAUAGGGCGAAUGAGUACGUUGACGUAGACCCGAAACCAGGUGACCUACCCAUGUCCAGGUUGAAGGUGCGGUAAGACGCACUGGAGGACCGAACCCGUGUAUGUUGAAAAAUGCUGGGAUGAGGUGUGGGUAGAGGUGAAAUUCCAAACGAACUUGGAGAUAGCUGGUUCUCUCCGAAAUAGCUUUAGGGCUAGCCUCGGAGUUAAGGAUCGUGGAGGUAGAGCACUGUUUGGACUAGGGGCCCGUCUUGGGUUACUGAAUUCAGAUAAACUCCGAAUGCCACAGAUCUAUAUCCGGGAGUCAGACUGCGAGUGAUAAGAUCCGUAGUCGAAAGGGAAACAGCCCAGACCACCGAUUAAGGUCCCUAAAUAUGUGUUAAGUGGAAAAGGAUGUGGAAUUGCACAGACAACUAGGAUGUUGGCUUAGAAGCAGCCACCAUUUAAAGAGUGCGUAAUAGCUCACUAGUCGAGUGAUCCUGCGCCGAAAAUGUAACGGGGCUAAACACAUUACCGAAAUCGUGGAUGCAACUAUGUUGCAUGGUAGGAGAGCGUUCUAAGGGCGAUGAAGCUAGACCGUAAGGACUGGUGGAGCGCUUAGAAGUGAGAAUGCCGGUAUGAGUAGCGAAAGAUCAGUGAGAAUCUGGUCCACCGUAUGACUAAGGUUUCCUGGGGAAGGCUCGUCCUCCCAGGGUUAGUCGGGACCUAAGCCGAGGCCGAGAGGCGUAGGCGAUGGAUAACAGGUUGAGAUUCCUGUACUGGUUUGAUUUGUUUGAACGAUGGAGGGACGCAGGAGGCUAGAGAUGCGUGCUGUUGGAUAUGCACGUCCAAGCAACAAGUCUGAUGAUGAGUCAAAUGCUUAUCAUCUUAAGGACAAGUUGUGACGGGGAGCGAAAUUAAAGUAGCGAAGUGAUCGAUGUCACACUGCCGAGAAAAGCUUCUAGUUAGAAUCAGACCACCCGUACCGCAAACCGACACAGGUAGUCGAGGCGAGUAGCCUAAGGUGAGCGAGAGAACUCUCGUUAAGGAACUCGGCAAAAUGACCCCGUAACUUCGGGAGAAGGGGUGCUGCACAAUGUGCAGCCGCAGUGAAUAGGCCCAGGCGACUGUUUAUCAAAAACACAGGUUUCUGCAAAAUCGUAAGAUGAAGUAUAGGGGCUGACGCCUGCCCGGUGCUGGAAGGUUAAGAGGAUGGGUUAGCGUAAGCGAAGCUCAGAAUUGAAGCCC
rnacentral:rRNA from 1 species